GACGAGCGCUGGUGGCGUGCUUAACACAUGCAAGUCGAACGGGAUUUAGUAAACAGAGGCCUCGGUGGAAGAUUACUAAUGAGAGUGGCGAACGGGUGAGUAACGCGUGAGCAACCUGCCUAUGACAGUGGGAUAGCCUCGGGAAACCGGGAUUAAUACCGCAUAAAAUCGUAGAAACACAUGUUUUAACGGUCCAAGAUUUAUCGGUCAUAGAUGGGCUCGCGUCUGAUUAGCUAGUUGGAGAGAUAACAGCCCACCAAGGCGACGAUCAGUAGCCGGUCUGAGAGGAUGAACGGCCACAUUGGAACUGAGACACGGUCCAAACUCCUACGGGAGGCAGCAGUGGGGAAUAUUGCACAAUGGGGGAAACCCUGAUGCAGCGACGCCGCGUGAACGAAGAAGGUAUUCGUAUCGUAAAGUUCUGUCCUAUGGGAAGAUAAUGACAGUACCAUAGAAGAAAGCUCCGGCUAAAUACGUG
rnacentral:rRNA from 1 species